AAAUUGAAGAGUUUGAUCAUGGCUCAGAUUGAACGCUGGCGGCAGGCCUAACACAUGCAAGUCGAACGGUAACAGGAAGCAGCUUGCUGCUUCGCUGACGAGUGGCGGACGGGUGAGUAAUGUCUGGGAAACUGCCUGAUGGAGGGGGAUAACUACUGGAAACGGUAGCUAAUACCGCAUAACGUCGCAAGACCAAAGAGGGGGACCUUCGGGCCUCUUGCCAUCGGAUGUGCCCAGAUGGGAUUAGCUAGUAGGUGGGGUAACGGCUCACCUAGGC
rnacentral:rRNA from 3 species